rnacentral:rRNA from 1 species
CCUACGGGUUGCAGCAGUGGGGAAUAUUGCGCAAUGGACGAAAGUCUGACGCAGCGACGCCGCGUGUGGGAUGACGGUCUUCGGAUUGUAAACCACUGUCGGGAGGGACGAAUACGCCGCAAGGCGGGUGACGGUACCUCCAAAGGAAGCACCGGCUAACCCCGUGCCAGCAGCCGCGGUAAUACGGAGGGUGCGAGCGUUGUCCGGAAUCACUGGGCGUAAAGGGCGCGUAGGCGGCCUGGUAAGUAGGGGGUGAAAUCCUGCGGCUUAACCGCAGGGCUGCCUUCUAAACUGUCAGGCUCGAGCACAGUAGGGGCAGGUGGAAUUCCCGGUGUAGCGGUGGAAUGCGUAGAGAUCGGGAAGAACAUCAGUGGCGAAGGCGGCCUGCUGGGCUGUUGCUGACGCUGAGGCGCGACAGCGCGGGGAGCAAACAGGAUUAGAUACCCUCGUAGUC